rnacentral:lncRNA from 1 species
GGCAUUUCUGGUAUGAAUCCUGUUCCAACACAUGCCAGAAGUGUGACCUUAGGAUUGUGGGUGAUCAUCUCCUGGAAGCAAGAAGUCAUGGAGGAGAACUCUUCUGCAGGAUAGGAGGAGAAAAAGGUGGAGGAAUCCCUCACUUCAAAUGAGAUUAGAUUAAAACGUGGGAAACAUUUUUGAAUGAUAUUAAAAUGUGGGAAACAGUGCAUAAUUUUGUAGAAAAAGAGAAUCUGUUUAAAAACAAUGGAAUGUCAUAUUUCUGUGAAAUCCUCAAAAGGAGGCAGAAGCAAGUGUCAUUGGAUACAUUCUUUAUUAAAGUUGCAUAAAAAGAAACCAUUCCAUUAAGCCAAUAGGUAGCAGUGAUUUCAUUAGUGAUAGUGAAAGUCCUCCUACACAAUAACCCUCCUCUCUCUUAUCUCUCUCACAACAGCCACAAAGGUUUUCAAAGAUAAAUGCAGAUUUAUUUUUGUUUGUAUUUUGUAUUUUACUUAUUAUUUUGUAUUAUGUUACAGAAUGUUUUUUGGGUUUUUUUUUGGUACCAGGGAUUGAACUCAGGACCUUGUGCUUUUGAGGCAGGCAGCAAAACCACUGAGCUAAAUCCCCAGCCCUGUAUUAUGUUACAAUAUUGUAAUCUUUUUUUUUUUUUUGAGACAGGGUCUCUGUAUGUAGCCAAGUUGGCCUCAAACUCACCAGGAUUCUUCUGCCUCAGCCUCCCAAGUGACGGGAUUACAGGCACGUGUCACCACAUCUGGCUGUAAUAAUUUUCUUUUUCUUUUGGUACCAGGGAUCGAACUCAGGACCUUACAUUUAUGAGGCAGGCGGUGGAACCACUGAGCUAAAUCCCUGGCCCUGGCUGUAAUAAUUUUUAUGUGAACAUUUUUGAGUUAUAGAAUGAAUCAUCUGAGUUUCCAUUGUUUCUUAUGGGAAAUUUUACUUUUUUGGGGCGGGGGGGAAUUUUACUUUGAUAUACAAGUGCUUUGGAUUACAAGCAUGUUUCUAGGACAAAUACUCAUAAACCAAGGUUUUACUGUGUAUAUAUAAAAUGUUCAAAAUAUUUAUUUGUGUUUAUAAGGAAUAAUAGAGGAAAGUACAUGCACUCCAUCUUCCCAGAAAUGGAACAUGGACAUUUUCUUUUCCCCUGAAUGGUGUUUCACCUCCCUGGUCUCGGCACUAAAUGAUAGCAGCUCUGCUUAGACAUUGUGGCAAAAAAAAUCCUGGGUUAGAAUUAUUUAAAUUUGCUUUUGGGCUGAUGAUUUAGCUCAGAGGCACUGCACCUGCCUUGCAAGCGCAAGGUCUUGAGUUCGAUCCCUGGUAGCUGAAAAAAAAAAGAAAGAAAUUUUCUUUUAUUGUACAAGGAAGGAUUUUUUGUUUUUGUUUUUUUGUACCAGGAACCAAACUCAGGACCUUGAGCUUGCCAGGCAGGUGCAGGGCCACUGAGCUGCAUCCCUGGCCUGUGGAAGUUACUUCUUUUUGUUUGUUUUUUUGUUUUUGGUACCAGAGAUCGAACUCAGGACCUUGCGCUAGUGAAGCAGCAUUACUUCUAAUAUUUAAUAACUAUAGCUGGGGAUUUAGCUCAGUGGUUCCACCUCCUGCCUUGCAAUUGCAAGAUCCUGAGUUCGAUCCCCGGUACAAAAAAAAAAAAAUACUAUAAAGAUGUGAUGAAUGUUUCUUCCUCUUUUUUUUUUUUCCGUUGUUUUUUGAGAUAAGGUCUUGCUAUGAAUUUACUAUGUUUGUUUGUGGGGUUUUUUUGGUACUGGGGAUCAAACUCAGGACCUUGCGCUUACAAGGCAGGCACUGGAACCACUCAGCUAAAACCCCGGCCCACUAUGAAUUUACUAUGUAGCCCAGACUGGCCUCAAACUCAUGGCAAUCCUCUUGCCUCAGCUUCCUUUUUUUUUUUCUUCAGGUUCUUGAGUGCUGGGAUUAACAGGCAUGUGCCACCGUGUCCAGCCUAUGAUGAACAUUUCUGAACAUAAUUUUUUGUUACAUUGUGCUGCUUACUUCCUUAAGAUAGAACCCCAAAAUUAGGGUUACUAGGCCAAAAGAUAAGGUCUUUUAAUUUGUUUAUUUGUUUGUACUGGGAAUUGAACCCAGGGCCUUCACACUGUGCUACAUCUCUGGUUUGUUUGUUUGUUUAUUUAUUUAUUUAUUUACAUAUAAAUUUUGAAACUAGAUCUCACUAAGUUGAUAGACAGCUCAAGAUGAGCUCAAAUUUGCAAUCCUCCUGCCUCAACCUCUCAGAGGGCUGGGUUUAUAGUCAUGCUCAACCAUACCCAGCCCUUUCUUCUUUUUAAAUCGACUACCUCGGGUUUUUGGGUUUGUUUUGUUUUGGUUUUUUAUUUUUUUGAGACAGGGUCUCACUAUGUAGCCCAGGCUGGCCUCCAACUCAUGACGAUCCUCCUGCCUCAGCCUCCCAGGUGCUAGGAUUACAGGCAUGUACCACCAUACCCAGCUUAUCUCAGGUAUUUUGUCACAGUGAUGGAAAGCUGACUAACACAACUGUGAUGAAAUGGCACACCUGGAUUUGAGCAACAAUGAUACAGUAGAAGGAGGAUUUAUACUAUCUGGAUUUGAACAUCAAUGUAAUCUGAAUUUUGUUAUAAGGUGAAUGUAUUCUUACACUCUCUGGGCCAGUUGAAGCCAGAGCUGCAGGCAGUUCUAGCCCAUGAGAACUGCCAAUAUCAUAAAAUGGGCCACACAGGGAAACACUGCAGAGGUGCAGUGGCACAUGCUGAAGCAGAGGGAUUACAAAUUUAAGACCAGCCUAGUCAACUGAGACUCUCAAAAUACAUAAAAAGGGCUGACAAUGUAGCUCAGUGGUAGAGUGCUUACCUAGCAUGCACAAGACCUUCAGUUCAAUCCCCCUACUGGGGGGAGAAAAGUUAAAAAAAAAAACCAAACAAAUAAUCUCAUGGAUUGUACACUCUAGAUCUAGUUAUUCUGAAACUAUUUCCAUACUUUGUUCUUUAUAAGAUUUAGAAAUAUGAGCUACUAAAACAAAAAAGAAAAAGAAAAAGUAUGAGCUACUAAAUUUAACCCCACUCCCCUCCACUAGUUUUUUAGGUUUGUUUGUUUAUUUGUUUGGGGUUUUUUGAGACUAUGUCUUGCCCUGUAGUCCUGGAUGGCCUUGAACUUUCGACAGUCCUCCUGCCUCAGCCUCCAGAGUGCUGGGAUUACAGGCUUGCAUUUGGCUAGUUUUUCUUAAAGUAGUUUGAAUUUGACUUGCAAUAGAAAGAAUCUUGGCCUAUAUUUAGGCAUGGAAGUAGGAAAAGAUAUCAGAUAUUAGAAUAAAUUUAUAUAAAAUAGUAUUUUAGCUGGUCAUAGUGGUGCACAUCUUUAGUCCCUCCUACUGGAGAGCCAGAGGCAAGAUCACUUGAGAUCAAGAGUUUGAGAUCAGCCUAGGCAACAUAGUAAAACCUUAUUUCAGGAAAACAAACAGUCCCACAAGGUGGCAUACACCUGUAAUACCAGCACUCAAGAGGCUAAUGCAAGAGGGUCACUGCAAGUUUGAGCCCAGCGUGUGCUACAUAGUGAGUUUAAGGCCAGCCUGGACUACAUAACAAGACCCUGUCUCUAAAAACCAAAGGGGAUGGGGGAAAGAAAAACAAACAAAACAAAAUAAAGAAAUAAAAUAGCAUUAAAAAUAUGAACCACUGGCCAUGGUGGCAUAUGCCUGUAAUCCUAGCACUUGGGAGGUUGAGGCAGGAUUGUCAUGAGUUCAAGGUCAGCCUGGGUUACAUAAUGAGUUCACAGCCAGCCUGAACUAUAGAGUGAGACUCUAUCUCAAAAAUAAAUGAAUAAACCAAUACCAUGUAGAAGUAUAGUUUGAAAUUACUAAAUAUACUGUCAAAAAGCAAGCUAUAGAAUGGAAAGAAAUUUUUAUAUGCAAGUGAUAUGUAGGAUAUAUAAAAAAGUACAACAGCAAAUAAUUUAAUAACUUGAUUUGAAAAUGACCAAAAGAUUUCAGCCUUCCAAAAAUGAUACACAAAUGGCCAAGAAGUAUAUGAGAUAGGAAACAGGGACAUAGCUCUUUUACAAAUGGGAAGGGGACCGAGAGAUGAAGGAAAGGGUGUGGGGGGAAGGGGACAUAAAAAGAAUGAAGAAUUAAAAUGUGUUACAUACAUGUACCAACUUCCCAUGAUGAAUGUAAUCAUUAUGUACUGCAAACGUACUAAUAAAAAUUAAAAAUUUUAUAAAGAAGCAUAUGAAUAGAUAGAUAUCACUAAUCAGAAGAGAAAUGCAAAUUAAAACCAGAUGCUACUUCACACCCAUUAUGAUGGCUACUGUGGAAGGAAAAAGGAAAGAGGAAGGAAGGGAGAGGGGCAGGGAAGAAGAAAAGAGAUCUGUCUUGUGUUCCCUAUCAUGAAUGUAUCACCUUGUAUUUAACCAUUCCCUACUGAUAAAUUUUAAAUUGUUUUAGUUUUUUUUCUAUUAAAAAAUCUCAAUAAAUAUUAUCAUUCAAUGAA